rnacentral:rRNA from 1 species
UCAGCUCGUGCCGUGAGGUGUCGGGUUAAGUCCCAUAACGAGCGCAACCCCUACCUUUAGUUGCCAUCAGGUUAAGCUGGGGACUCUAAAGGAACUGCCUACGCAAGUAGUGAGGAAGCGGGGAUGACGUCAAAUCAGCACGGCCCUUACGUCCAGGGCUACACACGUGCUACAAUGGCCGAUACAGAGGGCAGCUACCUGGUGACAGGAUGCAAAUCUCCAAAGUCGGUCUCAGUUCGGAUCGGAGUCUGCAACCCGACUCCGUGAAGUUGGAUUCGCUAGUAAUCGCGCAUCAGCCAUGGCGCGGUGAAUACGUUCCCGGGCCUU